rnacentral:rRNA from 1 species
AGUGAACGCUGGCGGUAGGCCUAACACAUGCAAGUCGAACGGCAGCACAGUAAGAGCUUGCUCUUACGGGUGGCGAGUGGCGGACGGGUGAGGAAUACAUCGGAAUCUACUUUUUCGUGGGGGAUAACGUAGGGAAACUUCCGCUAAUCCCGCAUACGACCUCCGGGUGAAAGCCGGCGAUCUUCGGACCUUGCGCGAUUGAAUGAGCCGACGUCGGCUUCGCUCGUUGGCGGGGUACAGGCCCACCAAGGCGACGAUCCGUAGCGGGUCUGAGGGGAUGAUCAGCCACACGGGAACUGAGACAGGGUCCAGACUCCGACGGGAGGAAGCGGUGGGGAAUAUUGGACGAGGGGGGCAAGGCGGAUCCAGCCAUACCGGGUGGGGGAAGAAGGCCUUCGGGUGGGAAAGCCCUUUUGUUGGGAAAGAAAAGCAGCAGGUUAAUACCCCGCUGUUCUGACGGUACCCAAAGAAUAAGCACCGGCUAACUUCGUG